UACAGAGGGUGCGAGCGUUAAUCGGAAUUACUGGGCGUAAAGCGCACGUAGGCGGUGUGUCACGUCGGCCGUGAAAACCUGCAGCUUAACUGUGGGCGUGCGGUUGAUACGGGUUGGCUGGAGUUCGGUAGGGGAGACUGGAAUUCCUGGUGUAGCGGUGAAAUGCGCAGAUAUCAGGAGGAACACCGGUGGCGAAGGCGGGUCUCUGGGCCGAUACUGACGCUGAGGAGCGAAAGCGUGGGGAGCGAACAGG
rnacentral:rRNA from 1 species